rnacentral:SRP_RNA from 1 species
GGGCAAGUUUCAUGCGACCAGCUCCUGCUGAACUCCCCCAGGACCGGAAGGGAGCAAGGGUAGGCGGUUGUAGCGGUGCGACAUGAAAAACUUGCCUUUU